UCUGUUUACACUUAUUCUACUUUUUUGUUUUUACAUAAUUUUAUUUAUAUUUAUUUUACUAAAUAAUUACUAAUACAUAAAGAAGUAUGUGCAGAAUUUAAUUUCACAACUAAAGAGGACUCCGAAGAAGAAUUAAAGUUCUGGUGGAUCAAAGAUCGAGGAAUGAUUUGGUUUUAACUGGUUUGCAUCUUAUGAACGAAGUACAUAAUAUGAUUUAAAUUAAUGAUUUAUAGUUACAUCUAUUCAAAUUCUGUAUCUCAAUGAUAUCCUGGCUUAUCGAUACGAUAUCCUGUAAAUCCACUCACACACAUAAAUUUUACUCGUACACGUAAAUCCUGUAAAUUCACUCACACACAUAAAUCUUAAAAAAGAUGUUUAUAUUUUUA